AACGCGAAGAACCUUACCUGGGUUUGACAUUUAGGGAAAAGCCGUAGAGAUACGGUGUCCUUCGGGGUCCUAAACAGGUGGUGCAUGGCUGUCGUCAGCUCGUGUCGUGAGAUGUUGGGUUAAGUCCCGCAACGAGCGCAACCCUUAUUCUAUGUUGCCAGCGCGUAAUGGCGGGGACUCGUAGGAGACUGCCGGGGUCAACUCGGAGGAAGGUGGGGACGACGUCAAGUCAUCAUGCCCCUUAUAUCCAGGGCUGCACACAUGCUACAAUGGCUGGUACAACGGGUCGCUAAUCCGCGAGGAGGAGCUAAUCCCCAAAGCCAGUCUCAGUUCGGAUCGCAGUCUGCAACUCGACUGCGUGAAGUCGGAGUCGCUAGUAAUCCCGGAUCAGCAACGCCGGGGUGAAUACGUUCCCGGGCCUUGUA
rnacentral:rRNA from 1 species